rnacentral:lncRNA from 1 species
CACUGACUAACUGAGGUCCAGCUCCCUAGAAAACAGACUCAGAUGUAGAUUGCAUGCAGGAAGUUUUUUGGGAAGUACCAACAGGACAAACCUGUGACAGAGUAAUGAAACCAGAAGUGAGUGAACAGGAGAAAUUGAACGGUGAUGUAAUUGAAAUGAAGACCUCAGCUGCUAUCUGAGGGAGCUCUGGAGCUGAAAUGACCCUUCAGGGUUGUCCUGAAUUGAGAUGACGAAAUUGAAGCGCAGAGACAUCAAGUAAUGUUCAAGAUUACACAAUCAGUGAGUGACAGGAUUGAGCUCCAAAUUCAGUUUAACCUCAGAUCCCACAUCCUUAUCCACCAAACCACAAGGCUCUCGUGAACAGCAGAAGCACCUGGAUCUUGAAGAGAACAGAUCUUGAGAGAACUUAAGGAGAGGCAUAAAAGACCAAAGAGAUUGCUGAGACUGUAAGAAAGCAGUCUCUGAGCGUGACACUGUGCUGUUGACACAGAGUAACAGAAGACAUGACUGUGAUUAUUAAACAAAGCCUUUUAUGGCCAACGACUUACAAAGGAGUCACAAAUCUCUGUUAAUUAUAUAAUAAGUGCAUUUCUAAAAGCCUCCUAUGAAUGAACCAGUGGAGAUCAAUUAAAGGGAUAACAGUUUACUCUUUGCUUAUUAAGUUACUAUCAGCAAAAACAAGGAAACAAAAAAAAAGAAAAUGGACUUUUGUCCAUGGAGGGUAUUAAAACUUUAUGCAUCUUUACAGUCAUAGAAAAUUUCACAAAUUAUUACACUUAGGAUUUUUGGGGAUUAGCACAUGCACUAAAUGAGAUGCAGUGGAAAAGUGACACAGGGGAAAGCCUGAAAGUCAUGUGCCUAUUAGGGCCCUGAAUCAUCAUCCUGGCAAGAAUGUGAAGGGGCCGAUUGCUACACAUCCUCUUACUUUUUAUUUUUUAUUUUUACGGGCCAAGUAGAGAGAUAAAUGUUUGUAUAAAGAAAAAGAAUUGAAUGGCAAUUCAGAUAUAAUGUCCCAUUUGGUCUUUUUAGAAGGAAAGUGUUACACAUAAAAAGGUAGGUAGUUCCCUGUAUGUUCUAUGAUUUGAGACACACCCAAAGGGGUGCCUGCUUUCUAACUAAAAAAUAUGUGUCCCACUGAUUGAGGCAUCUGAAAUUCACAUUAUCACCUACCACUUUAGGCUUAUAGCAUGGAAAGGAAGACUCUAGGUCUGUUGGAAAAUGGGGCCACGGUAAACCAGGAAGAGGGAGCCUGGGCAGUGAGAGAGUGUUCAGUAUUCAAAAGAUGACACAGAAAGGUCAGCAAGGGGCAAAUGGAAAGGCACAAAAAAUAGCUUUAAGAAUUUGGCCCAAAGGAAAUGAGAGUUCGAUAUUUUCUAUCAGUGAGUAAGAUAUUACUCACUGAAUUGGUCAUUUUUGGCAUCAAUUAUUUUUGAUGCUUACUGAGUUGUGUUUUGUGUAUUUAUUAUAAACGCUCUGUUUCUUUUUGGAAACUGAUUUUGUCAUUUGGCUCCUUUCCAGAUCAGUUUCCUUCCAAUCACCAUUAAUGGGUAUUGAUUGAAUGUGACAAUUUUAGCCUCAGAUGGACUAAAUGCCUUAAUAGAGAGAGAUUUAUAUGCAAGAUCUAUUUUUACCUAAAUCUUUAGGGUUUGGUUCAGAC